rnacentral:rRNA from 1 species
UGACGGUACCCUUUCGAAUAAGAGGUUGCUAACUCUGUGCCAGCAGCAGCGGUCAUACAGAGACCUCGAGCGUUAUCCGGAUUUACUGGGCGUAAAGCGUCUGUAGGGGGUUUGUUACGUUCCAAGUAAAAUCUUAAGGCUCAACUUUAAGUUCGCUUGGAAAACUAAUAAACUGGAGUCCAGCAGAGGUGCAUGGAACUUGCGGUGUAGGAGUGAAAUCCGUUGAUAUCGCAAGGAACACCAAAGGCGAAGGCAUUGGCACUGGGCUGGUACUGACCCUGAGAGACGAAAGCGUGGGGAGCAAAACGGAUUAGAUACCCGUGUAGUCCACGCCGUAAACGAUGGACACUAGAUGUUCGGGGAUUCGACCCCCUGGGUGUCACAGCUAACGCGUUAAGUAUCCCGCCUGGGAAGUACGGCCGCAAGGCUAAAACUCAAAGGAAUAGACGGGGAUCCGCACAAGCGGUGGAGCGUCUGGUUUAAUUUGAUAGUAAGCAAUGGACCUCACCAAGGUUUGACAUCCUAUGACAACCCUGGAAACAGGGCUUCCUUCGGGCAUAGUGACAGGUGCUGCAUGGUCGUCGUCAGUUCGUGCCGUGAGGUGUUCCGUUAAGUCGGGAAACGAACGAAACCCUCGUCGCAUGUUACAAAUUUCAUGCGAGACUGCCCGGGUCAACCGGGAGGAAGGCGGGGAUGACGUCAGAUCAGCAUGGCCCUUAUACCUUGGGCUACACAGGCGCUACAAUGGCCGGUACAAAGGGUUGCAAAACCGCGAGGUGAAGCUAAUCCCAUAAAGCCGGUCCAAGUUCGGAUUGGAGGCUGCAACUCGCCUCCAUGAAGUUGGAAUCGCUAGUAAUCGUGGAUCAGCCAUACCACGGUGAAUACGUUCCCGGAUCUUGUACUCACCGCCCGUCACACCAAGAGAGUUGGUAGCUCCUGAAGCGUCGCAUUAG